UAGCGGCAGGCUUAAUACAUGCAAGGCGAAGGGGCAGCAAUGUCACUGUCGUACGGGUGCGUAACGCGUAUGCAACCUACCUAUCACUGGGGGAUAGCCCGGGGAAACCCGGAUUAAUACCGCAUAAAACAGGGGCACCGCAUGGUGAUAUUUGUUAAAGAUUUAUUGGUGAUAGAUGGGCAUGCGUUCGAUUAGCUAGUUGGCGGGGUAACGGCCCACCAAGGCGACGAUCGAUAGGGGAGCUGAGAGGUUGAUCCCCCACACGGGCACUGAGAUACGGGCCCGACUCCUACGGGAGGCAGCAGUAGGGAAUAUUGGGCAAUGGAUGCAAGUCUGACCCAGCCAUGCCGCGUGCCGGAUGAAGGCCCUCAGGGUUGUAAACGGCUUUUAUUCGGGAAGAAGAGCAGGGAUGCGUCCUUGUGUGACGGUACCGAAUGAAUAAGCACCGGCUAACUCCGUGCCAGCAGCCGCGGUAAUACGGAGGGUGCGAGCGUUGUCCGGAUUUAUUGGGUUUAAAGGGUGCGUAGGUGGCCUUAUAAGUCAGUGGUGAAAUACGGUUGCUCAACAAUCGAGGUGCCAUUGAUACUGUGGGGCUUGAAAUAAUUGGAGGCUGCCGGAAUGGAUGGUGUAGCGGUGAAAUGCAUAGAUAUCAUCCAGAACACCGAUUGCGAAGGCAGGUGGCUACGAUUGGUUUGACACUGAGGCACGAAAGCAUGGGGAGCAAACAGGAUUAGAUACCCUGGUAGUCCAUGCUGUAAACGAUGAGGACUCGUUGUUUGGCUGCAAGGCUGAGCGACUUAGGGAA
rnacentral:rRNA from 1 species